GGUGGCUGUGCUACAUGAAUUCAUAAGAAGUAUUUGAUUACUAUUUCUGCAACAUUCCUUUUCCUUCUCUUAAGCAGGGGAAAAGAUGAAUCCUUCCAGCCCACACCAAAAGAUGUGGUCCAAGUCAGGAUCCAAGAGAGUCAACAAGAUGUCAAGUCAAGCCAAAUUCACAGUGCCACAGAAUCCAAUCAGGAGUUGAAACGAGACACCAUGGAUUCAAGAUCUUCCUGAAUAUCACAGCAAACGGUCAGAGGCAGACUUCAAACCCUCAUCCUUCAGAUUCUAAAGGUAAUAUAUUCUAUAACAAUAAGAAACUUCCCUGUACUAGAGAGAUCUCUUGUGUCAUGAGAGUCUCUUAUCCAAGGGUUAUGUAU
rnacentral:lncRNA from 1 species